ACCUGAACCAAGUGGGCCCUCAGCGCAGCCGCAGCCCCGCCCCCUUGCAGCAGCUGGACUCUUCUCUCUCCGAACCCCGGGGUCUCGAGUUAAAUAUGACCUCUCAGAGCACUGUAGACUCUAGAUCCAUGAUCACCAAAUAGUCUCCAAUGGUUGUGUCUCUGCCUUGUGUUGGCCAGCCCCCGUGGACUCGGUCUGACUGGUUUUAACCCACAGAAGAACAGUGUGAUGAUGCUGGAAAAGCAGCCCAGGCCUUCAGAGGUCUUGCGGCUUCUGCCUUCACUGUCAAUGAGCCCUAAGAUCACCACAUACGGGAGCUACUCUAGCCUGCUAGCAACAUGACUGAGGUUUCUCCAGAUCUGAGACUAAGUGGGUGUCUGGUACUGGGAUCGCCAGAGGACUGCCCAGUGGCUGAGGAUUUGGUGGAGAGGGGGAUUGUGGGAGAAGGACAGAAAGGAGGGGCUAAGUGGCCCUCAGAGGAUCAUUUUUCCAAGCACCAUUUGCUGAGCUGGCCCUGCCCUCUCACCAUGGGUUUUCCAUCACCUCUGUCAGUGAGGGCCACUUGGUCACAGCCAGUUCUCAACUCAGUAUAUUCGUGUGACUUGGAGCCAUCUGGGUGGUUUUGAGAAUCCCACAGAGAAGGAGAUUCCACAGAGUGACCGCUCCCAGGACUGACCAUUGGCUAAGGAUAGAAAGGCUCAGAGGAGAGGUCCUGCUGGGCGAGGGAAAAGCAAAACAUCACCUCCUAACAGAAUAAAAUCAGCCUCUGGUGUUCAAGUAUGGAUAGAUGUGGGGAAUCAGAAACAGAAUUCACACAAACUUAAUAAAGUUAUCUCUUCCAUUGCA